GCGCUUGGUGACGAGAUGGCGGCUAGCACCGGGCGACCUGUUGAAGAAGAAGAGAUGAUCAUGCACGCCCCGAACCAAUGACCGUGGGAGAACUAUACUCUCAGGUUGUUAAUUUCGAGG
rnacentral:snoRNA from 1 species